AUAAAAAAAAUCCAGUACACUUGAGGAAUGUUAACUAUAGUCUAGAAUAAAAAAAGAAUUAUCCCUCCUUGUUGUUCAAGUUCCUUUUGUUCUCGGUUCAGGCAGCCUUGAUUUCUAUGUGAAACUUGAUUGUUGAACAAUUUUUUUGUUGUUCUAAGUUCUUGAUCCUAAGUUUCACUCCUUGAUCUAUUAUGAUGUGGGGUUUUAAAGCAUGCUCCUAUGUUCUUGAGCUAUACAUGUGAUGCAAAAGGGAGUUGCUGGGAUUACCUUAGCUUGGGUGUAUCCUCUUGGUUCCUUGACUGCCACUCCUUGCUCCUCUCCCUUCCCCUUGCUGCACUCUUUGUUGUUGUAUGCAACUUAUGGUGCUGAAGUGAGAUUUUGAUCAAGGACAGACAGCUCUUCCUUGGCUCUUUGUUAACUACUUUUGACAUUUUGUGCAUAGAAGUGUUGUUAGCUAAAGAAGUGACAAUCGGUUGGAGUCUUUGGGGAUGUGGCAUGGCUGGUAGUCCUUUAGGGAGUCAAACAAGCUGUCCCCUAACAGCUGAUCCAUUUUGGCAGGGAAGUUGGAGGAUGCAUGUGCUGAAAAGAGAGGUGGCAGACUUGUCUUGUUUUGGUGCUUUAGGGAAAGAGUCGAGCUAGCUGGAUUCAACAUGGGCUGAAAAUAAAAAAUUUUAGCUUGCUAAGAAGAGGCCCAAAAUCUAUGUACACUCUUUUUUUCAUGAUAGUUCUAUGUUCUUGAUCCAAAGAUGGAUCAUAUAGAGUUGGUAACUUGUAAAAACUAGUAUGGGUUUUUUUAUUCCCUCUUGAUUCAUUUAUA